rnacentral:rRNA from 1 species
AACGAACGCUGGCGGCAUGCCUAACACAUGCAAGUCGAACGAGCAUUUCGGGAUUUGUGGCGCACGGGUGCGUAACACACGGGAAACUGUACUUAGCUUUGGAGUAAAUCCCUGAGAAACGUGCUCUUAUAGGAUAUUCUCUUCGGUCCAAAGAUUUAUAGCCUUUGAAUGUGCCCGCGUUGGAUUAGCUAGUUGGUAGGGUAAAAGCCUACCACGGCGACGAUCAAUAGCUGGUCUGAGAGGAUGAUCAGCCACACUGGGACUGAGACACGGCCCAGACUCCUACGGGAGGCAGCAGUGGGGAAUAUUGGACAAUGGGCGAAAGCCUGAUCCAGCAAUGCCGCGUGAGUGAUGAAGGCCUUAGGGUUGUAAAGCUCUUUUACCCGGGAUGAUAAUGACAGUACCGGAAGAAUAAGCUCCGGCUAACUCCGUG